rnacentral:lncRNA from 1 species
GUUAUUUGGUGUGUGUGUGUAGUGUGUGUGUGGUGUGUGUGUUUGUUGUGUGUAGUGUAGAGUAUUGUGUGGUGUGUGGUGUGCUGUGUAUGUGUUUGUAGUGUAUGUGUUUUGUGUGUGUUUGGUGUUAUGUGUUUACUGUAUGUGUGUGGUGUGGGUGUGUAGUGUAUGUUUGUAGUGUAUGUUUGUGGUGUAUUUUGCGGUGUGUGUGUUUGUGGUGUGUGUUUGUAUCAUGUGUGUGUGUGCUGAACAUGUAUUAGUGGUGUAUGUGUGUUGUUUGUGUUUGAUGAGUUUAUGUUUACUGUAUGAGUGUGGUGUUUGUGUAGUGUAUGUUUGUUGUGUAUGUUUGUGGUAUAUGUGUGUGGUGUGUGUGUGUUGUGUAUGUAUGGGGUGUGAGUGUGUGAGGUAUGCUUGCCUGUAUUGUAUAUGUGCAGUCCAUGUGUUAAUAGUGUAUUGUGUGGUGUGUGUGUAUGAAGUGUGUAGUAUAGUGUAUGUGUGUGGUGUGAGUGUGCAGUGUGCUUGUGUAUUGUAUGUAUGCGGUGUUUGUGUGCAGUGUGUGUUCGGUGUGUGUGAUUGUAGUAUGUGUGUGUAUGGUGUAUGUGUUUGUAGUGUAUGUGUGUGUUGUGUUUGGUGUGUUUGCAGUGUAGGUUUUUAUAGUGUAUGUGUGUAGGGCGUGUGUUUGGUGUGUUUGUUGAUGUAUGUUUGUGCUGUGUGAGAAGUGUAAGUUUAUAAAGCAUGCGUUGUGUGUGUGCUUUGCUUGUGUGCAGUGUGUGUGUAGUCAAUGUAUGCGGUGUGUGUGGGGUAUCUGUUUGUGGUGUGUGUGUUGUGUGUGUUUGGUGUGUGUAGUGUAAUGUAUGUGUGUGGUGUUUGUGUGCAGUGUAUGUGCUUGUAGUGUAUGUUUGUGGUGCAUGUGUACAGUGUGUUGUGUGUGUUUGGUGAGUUUGUGUUUCCUGUAUGUGUUUGUGUAGUGUAGUUUUGUAGUGAAUGUUUUUUGUGUAUCUGUGCAAUGUGUGUGUAAUGUAUGUAUUAGGAGUGUUUGUGUGUUUGCGCUUUGUGUGUUUGCAUUGUGUGUGUGCUGACCAUGUAUUAGUAGUGUAUCUGUGUGAUGUGUGUGUGCAGUGUGUUUGUGAAUUGUAUGUAUACAGAGUGUGUGUGUGGUGUGUGUGUGCCUUGUGUGGGGGGUGUGUUUGUAGUGUGUGUGUGUGUGGUAUAGGGUUUGUAGUGUAUGUGUGUAGUGUGUGUGUUUGGUGUAUUUGUAUUUACUGUAUGUGUGUGGUGUGUGUGUUUGGUGAGUUUGUGUUCACUGUAUGUGUGUGGUGUUUGUGUAGUGUAUGUUUGUUGGGUGGUGCAUGUGUGCAGUGUGGUGUAUGCGUUAUGUGUGUGUGCGAUGUGCGUGUUUGUAUUGUGUGUGUGCAUUCCAUAUGAUGGUAAUAUAUGUGUGUGGUGUGUGCGUUGGACGUGUGUAGUGUAGUGUAUAUGUGUGGUGUGUGUGUGUGCAACGUGUUUGUGAAUUGUAUGUAUGCGGUGUGUGUGAGCGGUGUGUGUGUGCAGUGUGUGUGUGAGGUUUGUGUAGUGUGUUGUAUGUGUGUGGUGUGUGUACCGUGUAUGUGUUUGUAGUGUAUGUGUGUGUUGUUUGCGUUUGGUGAGUUUGUGUUUACUGUAUGUGUAUGGUAUGUGUGUAGUGUAUGUUUGUUGUGUAUGUUUGUGGUGUAUGUGUGUGGUGUGUGUGUGUGUUGUGUAUGUAUGCGGUGUGUGUGUGAGGUAUGCGUGUUUGUAUUGUGUCUGUGCAGUCCAUGUGUUAGUGGCGUAUGUGUGUGGUGUGUGUGUUUGACAUGUGUAGUGUAGUGUAUGUGUGUGGUGUGUGUGCAGUGUAUUUGUGAACUGUAUGUAUGUGGUGUGUGUAUGUGCGGUGCAUUGUGUGUGGGGGUGUGUGUGUGUGUGUGUGUGUGUGUGUCUGUAGUAUAUGUGUGUGCGGUGUAGGUUUUUGUAGUGUAUGUGUAUAGUGUGUGUGUUUGGUGUUUGUGUUUACUGUAUGUGUGUGGUGUGUGUGUUUGGUGUGUUUGUGUUUGCUGGAUGUGUCUGGUGUAUGUGUGUGGUGUGUGUGUCGUGUAUGUGUUUGUAGUGUAUGUGUGAGGAAUAGAGGAGGGCAUGUAAGGAGAUGCCUUGACAGACGGAGACAGUACAGGUUUGGAGAGAGGGCUGGCACAGGGGAAAAGUUAGUGAAUCCACUGGGAUGACCCCAACUAAGAAUUUAGGCAGUGGUGGAGAGUUUGCGUUUGGUGCGUUUGUGUUUACUGUAUUGUGUGAUGUGUGUGUAGUGUAUGUUUGUUGUGUAUGUUUGUUGUGUAUGUGUGCGGUGUGUGUGUGUUUUGUAUGUAUGCGGUGGGUGUGUGAGGUAUGCGUGUUUGUAUUGUGUCUGUGCAGUCCAUGUGUUAGUAGUGUAUGUUUGCGGUAUGUGUGUUUGACAUGUGUACUGUAGUUUAUGUGUGUGCUGUGUGUGUGCAUUGUGAUUGUGAAUUGUAUGUAUGCGGUGUGUCUGUGCGGUGCAGUGUGUGUGGGGUGUGUGUGUGCAGUGUGCUUGUGUAUUGUAUGUAUGCGGUGUUUGUGUGCAGUGUGUGUGCGGUGUGUGUGAUUGUAGUAUGUGUGUGCACGGUGUAUGUGUUUGUACUGUAUGUGUGUUUUGUGUUUGGUGUGUUUGUGUUUACUGUAUGUGUGUGGUGUGUGUGUGGUGUAUGUGUGGGGUGUAUGUGUGCAGUGUGUUUGUGGAGUGAAUGUAUGUGGUGUCGGUGUGCGGUAUGUGUGUGCGGUGUAGAUGUUUGUAGUGUGCGUGUGCGGUGUAUGUGUUUAUAGUGUAUGUGUGAGGUUUGUUUUUGGUGUGUUUGUGUGUGUGUUGUGUGUGUGUGUGGUGUGUGUUUGGUGUGUUUGUUUGUAUGUGUGCUGUGUGUGUGUGUGGUGUGUGUGUUUGGUGUGUGUAAUAUAGUGUCUGUGUGUGGUGUGUAUGUGUGUGGGUUAGGUUAAGAGUUAAGACUAAAUUUUGUCUACCAUCUAAAGAUUGUACCUAGGUUGCUUCUGAUACUGGAGGAAUGUUAUACUGGCUAUUCCAUUGCUAUAAAAGUACAAGACCUCAGAGAUUUAUAGCUAUGUUUUCUACAUAUGGUUUCAGCCUUCCUUUCUGUCCUUUCGGUCCAAUGCAAACCACCCAAUUAACACUCUACCAAAAUCUAGAUAAAGUUCCAAUUCCUCAAUGUUGUACAUUCACCUCGCU